rnacentral:rRNA from 1 species
CACGUAGGGCGCAAGCGUUGUCCGGAAUUAUUGGGCGUAAAGAGCUCGUAGGCGGUCUGUUGCGUCCGCUGUGAAAACUCGGGGCUUAACCCCGAGCCUGCAGUGGAUACGGGCAGACUAGAGGUAGGUAGGGGAGAAUGGAAUUCCCGGUGUAGCGGUGAAAUGCGCAGAUAUCGGGAGGAACACCGGUGACGAAGGCGGUUCUCUGGGCCUUACCUGACGCUGAGGAGCGAAAGCGUGGGGAGCGAACAGG